GCCCUGCGGAACGCCCAUCGUGUUUAUCAUUUCGGCUGACUUAAUCUGACCCCCACCACCGACAACCGUUUGCGAACGGUCAGACAUAAAGGACGUUAGCAAGGACAAGACGGGACCGCGUAUGCCGUAGACAUUUAAUUUGUCGGCGAUGAGUUGGUGAUCGGCGGUGUCGAACGCGCGCGAGAGGUCGCAGCAUAUCAGUGCGACGGGCUGGCUAGCCUCGCGCGCACUCAGCACACGCCACACCACUUCUCGCACCAGGUCGGUGGUGGCACGCCCCGCUCUGUAAGCGUACUGCCUCUCCGUCACAAUGUUAAGUUGUCCGAUAAAGGAUAAAAUUCUUUUAUUUAAACCUACCUCGAAUACCUUACAGACAGCGGGGACCAAGGAUAUCGGCCUAUAAGAUUUCAUGUCUGACUUUUUGCCUUUUCCUUUGUAGAGGGGCGAUAUUUUUCCAAACCUCUAUAAAAUGAUGAUGUUUAAAUAACACUUGCACAGUCUGGGCUAUCAAAAUAGCUGCCAACUUAGCUUGGUCUAUGUUAAUAAUUGGCAAUUAAUGGGUAGGUAGUUAUGUCAACAGUCAAAUAACUUAUGUAUAUAUUAUAAGCUAAUAAGUCUCACAGCCGCCCGGCGUCAAUGUCAAGCACACAGUCAAUAGAAGUGAAAUCAAAAUCUAUAUGAACAGACAUUUUAUAAUCGAUUUAAUUUUGAAUAUUAAAGUAGACACUGGACAAAAUUAUUUCUAGGUCUUAAAGUAUCUAGGUAUUCAUUACGUAUGGAACUUUGUGCGAAAUAAAUAAAUUGGCUGACAUCAUUAUGCUAAUGGAUUUUUAACAUAGGUAUUCACAAUCAGGAUAAUCACACAGUUUGAACACAUUUUAAUAACUGAGGUAUCAGGGUAUCACAGAUCACACAGAUGUGAUGAUAAAAUUAACAUGCCCUUUACAAGUUAAUUUACUUAUUAUAGUUCGUUUUUUUUAGCAUUAGAAAGAACUCCACAGAAGCAAGCGUGCAGUUUUUAUCAGGCUCUUUAAUUCUUAAUAAUUAUUAGAGAUGCCCCGAAUAGUGAAUUUGGCCGAAUACCGAAUAUUCGGCCUCUCUCUCGGCCGAAUACCGAAUAUUCGGCAUGACAUACGAACAUUUUGAGUCACAAUUAUUAUGAAAACUAUUCGCCAUCAAAGCACAACGUUUGCUAUAAUGUAUUUUUAUGUUGAACAGAAUUGAUGAAUGUGAUUAGAGUCAAUCAAAUCAGACCAAUAAAAUAUAUUGUAAUCAACAAAUGCUCAAAAAUGUGGCUUCGUAUUUAACUACUUUCCAAGAAUACAUUUUAAAUAUUAAAUAUACCUAGUUUUUUGUAAUUUUUUCAUUUUAGGUAGGUGCAAUAGAUAUUCGGUAUUCGGCCGAAUAGUAGGUAACAUUCGGCCGAAUACCGAAUAUUCGGCAAAGUGGCCGAACAGGCCGAAUACUGAAUAGUUGCCGAUUAUCCGUGGCAUCUCUAAUAAUUAUUGAAUUAUCUAAUGUAGCAUGGUCAAUACAUAUAAUUUACUUCAAAUUAUUACCGCUAAAAGUGCCGAAUUUGGAACCACAAGCUUACUUCUGCGAAGUUCUUUCUAAUGCUAAAAAAAACGGACUAUAAGUCUUGGUAUGAGAUAAUUUACACAUUAAAAAAAAUAGGACAAUCAAUAGUAUAGGUUUUUACUUAUCUACCAAUCAUAUUUUAUAAAUUAAAUGUUUACAAAAUAGUCAAAAAAGUAGGUUGUACAGUCAGCGUCAUAUAGCACCAAAGUAUUCAAAUAAUUUAGUAUGUUAUACAAAUUAUAUGGUGUACCAAACUAUUUGAAUACUUUGGACGCUACCUACUAUAAUAUGAUGCUGACUGUACAAUUGUUGUAAUAGUGGCUACAACUGUUUCUUACUGUAGGUACAAUUAUAGUUAGUUUUUUUUAGCAUUAGAAAGAACUUGCAAGAAGGUAAGCGAUCUUGACAUGUCUUUUACUUGAAAAACGCUUUUUAAAAAUCAAAAACUAUUACUUUAUGAAAGCAGAAGAAUAUAAAUGAUCGUAUUAGAUUCAUAAUUGUUACAUAUUUGUCGUAAUUUAUUUUUAAAACGUGUUUUUCAAUUAAAAGACACAUCAAGAUUGUUUAUCUAAUGCUAAAAAAACGAACUAUAGACAUUGAAAAAUGCAAUUUACACUUAGGGCUUGUCAACAAAUUCUGCCUUUGUUUAUACUUUUCUAAUAUUUAAAGAAUAUGAAUAAUUCCCUAAGUUCCUUGUUCACAAACUUAUAAUAAUUAUAAGAUACAUAGGAUAUUUUUCUUCCUUUUUUAUCUUUAGGUAUUACAAUAUCAAGACUAUAAUUUACUUCAGCAAUUUUGGUGCACAUCCCCAUCAGAUUUAUGCAGUGUAAUGCAGGGUAAUUAAUUUUCUGGUUAUACAUAUACAUAGCUCCUUACCAUAACAACACAAAUACAUUAAAAAUUACAAAUUAACUGAAGCGCAAUGCCAUGUUAUUUCAUGGCACAAACAUAUUUCAGUACAUUUAAAUAAUAUUAUAGCAAUUAAAUUCUAGCCUGUCAACUUCAAAAUUUAUAGACAGACUUUCUCAAAUUUUCUAAGGACCAGCCUUGAUGUAUAGAUUAGGCCCCUUUUUCAUAUCAGUCUCACAGCAAACUAUACAUAAAUUUAAACAAAGUUUACUGUAAAUUUAUGAAAAGUAAACCCUUUUUCUUCAAAAAGCUGAUAGCUAAAUUUGCUAUACUCUGACUAACUGCCUACUUGACUAUUGUAUUGACAUGUAACCCUGUAAAUUUAUGAAGCUAAUUGCUGCAUCAAACAUAUUAAAAAUGAGUCUACAACUUUAUUGAGAGCUAUAAUAUGUGCAGUUUAUUUUGCAUACUCAGUUGAAGCAAAAGCUGAUGAGGGUGAUUUAGGUAAUGUGACAGUUGUAAUACAUAAUUAUUUCUCACCUAAUACAUAUACAGCUAAACUGUCAAGUUGUUUUUAUGGAGGUAUAGCAUGGGGGUCAAGGCAGGCUACAGCUCUGGAUAUCACAUAAAAAGAGUGGUUAACUCCGCAUUUAUUAA